GUCAAGGUAAGGACGGUAGUUAGGUCGGGACUAGGUGAGUAACAACGUAAGAAAUACUGCCUACUCAGAGGGGAAGUAACAAGUGAGAAAUACACCUGCUAAUACCGCAUAUGCCAUAACUAUCGCAUGAUAGAAGUGGGAAAGGAGCAAUCCGCUGAUAGAUGAGCUUGCGUCUGAUUAGCUAGUUGGUGGGGUAAAGGCCUACCAAGGCGACGAUCAGUAGCCGGACUGAGAGGUUGAACGGCCACAUUGGGACUGAGAUACGGCCCAGACUCCUACGGGAGGCAGCAGUCGGGAAUAUUGCGCAAUGGAGGAAACUCUGACGCAGUGACGCCGCGUAUAGGAAGAAGGUUUUCGGAUUGUAAACUAUUGUCCACAGGGAAGAAAAAAGACUGUACCUGUGAAGCAAGCUCCGGCUAACUACGUG
rnacentral:rRNA from 1 species